UGUGCGAGAGCGACGCUGAUCCAGGAGCAGUUUUACCCAUAAAAUACGUUCUUGUGUUCUGCACUUAGUGUUCCCUGGAAGGAGGGGAAGAAGGAUCAGCCUUCAAGAAGCAGUAAUGUAGGCAGAGGAAGAGGAGGGAGGAUUGCGUCAGAAUCAGCCUCCUCUGACUCAUCAGCCCUGCUCUCUCCCUGACAAACACACACUCCCCCCUCUGUUUCCAUGUUUGACUGCGUAAUCUUGUCACAUGAGAGCAAUCAGUCCAGAAACAGUUGCCAGGGAAGCUUUUUCAUUCCUUACAAAAAGACAGACUCGGGGAUCUUAGAUGUUGUUAAAUUGAUUGCACUACAAUAAACGCUUUCUGAGUGCC